GGGGGGGGGGGGGGGGGUGGGUGGGGCGGGCGGGGCGAGGGAAGAGGCGAGGGGCUUGCUCCUCUGACGUUAGCGGCGGACGGGGGCGUAACACGUGGAGAACCUACCUAUAAGACUGGGAUAACUUCGGGAAACCGGCGCGAAUACCGGAUAAUAUAUUGAACCGCAUGGUUCAAUAGUGAAAGACGGUUUUGCUGUCACUUAUAGAUGGAUCCGCGCCGCAUUAGCUAGUUGGUAAGGUAACGGCUUACCAAGGCAACGAUGCGUAGCCGACCUGAGAGGGUGAUCGGCCACACUGGAACUGAGACACGGUCCAGACUCCUACGGGAGGCAGCAGUAGGGAAUCUUCCGCAAUGGGCGAAAGCCUGACGGAGCAACGCCGCGUGAGUGAUGAAGGUCUUCGGAUCGUAAAACUCUGUUAUUAGGGAAGAACAAAUGUGUAAGUAACUAUGCACGUCUUGACGGUACCUAAUCAGAAAGCCACGGCUAACUACGUG
rnacentral:rRNA from 1 species